CAGCAGUGGACACGUACAGGUUGAUGAUGAUAAUGAGGUUUCACUGGAGUAGGUUAGUCUCCAGCUAAUUAGGAUUUUCGAUAAGCCGGAUUUUGGGUGUUGGUAUAAUUUCCAGAUAUUUAGUAUAAUUGAUUAGCCAAGCUAUUAUUCUUAUUCUUGAUGACAGAAGUUCGUAGCACAAAGCUUCAAAUAUUUUGAUUACAUCUGUCAUGUCUGAGGUUCUCUAGUAGGUAUGAAUUUACCAUGAUUCCCUGGAGAAUUCUGGUGAAUACAUAUACAGGGUGUCCCUGAAAAUAGUACGUUCCUUAAAGGUAUAGGUAGAAGGCACCAUGUAGAGCAAAAAAGUCUUUUGCAUAACAUUUUUUUCUAAAUGCAACCGUUUGACUAAAAAACCAAAAUACAUUGUGGUAUGCAAAUUGAAAUCUGACAACUAUGUAUAAAAAAUCUAAACAUAGACAAUCACAAUUCAAAAAUAGUUGCAGCAUUUUAGCCAUAAGUAUUUACAUUAAACCCUGUCUUCAUCAUAAACAAACAAACAAAUUCUUGUUUUGCUGGAUUUUCAAACUUGGGGUGGUACAAUUAUUUUGCAGGUGUGCCUGUCUGACCUACAUUUGUGAUGUCAAUAAACUAAAUCACAAACAGUUCUUGUACAGUGAUGCCAAAUUAGUUAAUUUUAUGAAAAUAAAAGUUCGCUUAUAUGGCGAACAAUGUACUUUUUUUGGAAACGGUUAACUUUAGAAAAAAAUGUUAUAGAACUUUUUUGUUCUACAUUGUGUAUUAUAUCCAUACCUUAAAGGAACGCACUAUUUUCGGGGACACCCUGUAUAAGUAGACAUUCGUUCAUGGGGAAUGUGAUUAUAGGUGAUAUUGUCUAUUAUUGUGAAUUAGGAUUAAGGUUUUCCAUUUUUACAUCUUUUUCGUGCAUGAUAACGUAUAGAAUUACAUUAAUUGUGUCCAUUUGCCGCUUAUUGACAGAUAUUGUUAAGAGCCGUAUUAUUGAGGGAGGGCGUCUCUAGCUGUGCUAUUAGAAAAGACCAUUUUGUCAGGUCAAAUCGACCAAGUGCCUGCUUGUGACCUUUGGAGACACGCUAUAUAUACAUACAUACAACUUUCAGCUGCUUGAUACAGUUAUCGUAACCUUAUUUGUACAAAAAAUAUAAUUAAUUUUCGCAAAUAACUAGUAACGCAGUUAUAAUAAUAUAUAAUAAUUAUAAAUAUAUCAAAAUAUAUUACCUAACCAACAACAGUGCAAAGCAAUAGUCCUGCAAUUUAGUGCUUACAAAAUAUUUUCUCAUACUUCACACAUAAGAAAAGCAGUCUAAAAUAGUUUUGGAAAAGAUCAGAAUGGUUGGCCCUAAAUCAAAUCAAUUUUACGAAAGCUUCUUUAAACAUAACAAGCAAUAAAUAUGCUUCUAAACUCAACCACAAUAAUAUUAGCACCGCCUGUCUGUGAUUCUAUCCAUUUGCUAUGUGAUUUAAAUAUUUAGCACAAUAACAUCUCAAUUGCAUCACUGCCCACGACUCUUAUUUAUGCAAUAAAUUUGACACGAAACGAAACAAGUGGUGGAUACUGAUUUAAAUGAUCUUUCAUGGCUACAGUAAGAAGAGUAAGUGUUCUUUUUAUCAAGCAGACGAACAACUUGACUUCAUUCAUUCUCCAACCAAUUAUGUUAGGUCUCUUACUCAUGUCUUUAUAAUGACAUGACCACAUUAUAUACAUAAAAAGUUAAGAUUGUGUCUCUUAUGCUAAAUAAAAUGUCUAUCUACUUUUUGAGAAGUUCCUAUUUUGAUUAUGUUAUUGCUUUUGUAAUCAGCAGCAUCCAUGAUGUCGAAGCUAAGAACUGUUUAAAAUAAGUACUCGAUAGCUUAAAUUAUCUUCAUACAGUGAUACAAGAGGUGUAAGUUGUCUUAGUUCAAAACAAUUCGACGGGGCGUCUGUUUCGUAUAUAAAAUGGAGAUUCACAACCAUAACUUACAAUCUUUUAAUUGACUUGGUGAAAGUUAAAUUAAAGGGAAGAAGUAGGCAUCGAAUUUGUUUCAACUAAGUGUUUUUUUAAAUUGCGCUCUGUACUUUCAGUAGAUCUAUAACCAUAUCUAGCCCUUAAUGUCGAUAAAUAUGAAAUUUGAAGAAUAUACGACUAGCAUAUCUGACAAGUUUUUAGUUCGAGAUCACUUGUUAGUAGAGCAUUAAGAUCGAAAACAUAUGAUUAAGGAAUCAUUCACACUUCUACUCUAUUUUUAUUGUCUAAAUCUCGUCCAAGCAUCAUCAGUACAACAAAGAGUUUUUAUUCAUCAUCAUACUGAUA
rnacentral:lncRNA from 1 species